CCCUUAGAUGUUCUGGGCCGCACGCGCGCUACACUGUUCGACGCAGCUAGUCUUAACCUUGACCGAAAGGUUUGGGUAAUCUUCAGCAAAGUCGAACGUGAUGGGGAUCGAUCAUUGCAAUUAUUGAUCGUGAACGAGGAAUUCCUAGUAAGUGCAAGUCAUCAGCUUGCGCUGAUUACGUCCCUGCCCUUUGUACACACCGCCCGUCGCUACUACCGAUUGAAUGGUUUAGUGAGAUCUCUGGAUUGACGCUGGCUAGGGGGCGACCCUUGGCCAGGCUGUCGAGAAACUGCUCAAACUUGAUCAUUUAGAGGAAGUAAAAGUCGUAACA
rnacentral:rRNA from 1 species